rnacentral:tRNA from 1 species
GGUAUCAUGGCUGAGCGGUCAAAUGCGCUAGAUUAAGGUUCUAGUUUCUUAGGAGGCGAUGGUUUGAAUCCCACUGCUGCCA